rnacentral:rRNA from 1 species
GAGGAAGAGAAGCUUGCUUCUUGAAUCUAGUGGCAAACGGGUGAGUAACACGUAAACACCUGCCUUCAGGAUGGGGACAACAGACGGAAACGACUGCUAAUACCGAAUGUGACCGCAUGAUGAAAGAUGGCCUUUUAAGCUAUCGCCUGAAGAGGGGUUUGCGUCUGAUUAGGCAGUUGGUGAGGUAACGGCCCACCAAACCUACGAUCAGUAGCCGGUCUGAGAGGAUGAACGGCCACACUGGAACUGAGACACGGUCCAGACUCCUACGGGAGGCAGCAGUGGGGAAUCUUCCGCAAUGGACGAAAGUCUGACGGAGCAACGCCGCGUGAGUGAUGACGGCCUUCGGGUUGUAAAGCUCUGUGAUCGGAGACGAUGCUGGUAGCUAAUACCAUUCAGAGUGACGGUACCCGAAUAGCAAGCCACGGCUAACUACGUGCCAGCAGCCGCGGUAAUACGUAGGUGGCAAGCGUUGUCCGGAAUUAUUGGGCGUAAAGCGCGCGCAGGCGGUUCUUAAGUCCAUCUUAAAAGUGCGGGGCUUAACCCCGUGGUGGGAUGGAAACUGGGAGCUGGAGUAUCGGAGAGGAAAGUGGAAUUCCUAGUGUAGCGG